rnacentral:rRNA from 1 species
UGGGGAAUCUUGGACAAUGGGCGCAAGCCUGAUCCAGCCAUGCCGCGUGAGUGAAGAAGGCCUUAGGGUUGUAAAGCUCUUUUACCAGGGAUGAUAAUGACAGUACCUGGAGAAUAAGCUCCGGCUAACUCCGUGCCAGCAGCCGCGGUAAUACGGAGGGAGCUAGCGUUGUUCGGAAUUACUGGGCGUAAAGCGUGCGUAGGCGGCCAUUCAAGUCAGAGGUGAAAGCCUGGAGCUCAACUCCAGAACUGCCUUUGAAACUAGAUGGCUAGAAUCUUGGAGAGGUGAGUGGAAUUCCGAGUGUAGAGGUGAAAUUCGUAGAUAUUCGGAAGAACACCAGUGGCGAAGGCGACUCACUGGACAAGUAUUGACGCUGAGGUACGAAAGCGUGGGGAGCAAACAGGAUUAGAUACCCCGGUAGUCCCUGAGCGGGCUGGCAAGGCGCAU